rnacentral:rRNA from 1 species
AUUGAACGCUGGCGGCAGGCUUAACACAUGCAAGUCGAGCGAGCGGCGGACGGGUGAGUAAUGUAUGGGAACUGCCCGAUGGAGGGGGAUAACUACUGGAAACGGUAGCUAAUACCGCAUACUAUCGGAUAACCUAUAUGGGAUUAGCUAGUAGGUGGGGUAAUGGCUCACCUAGGCGACGAUCCCUAGCUGGUCUGAGAGGAUGAUCAGCCACACGGGGACUGAGAAACGGCCCGGACUCCUACGGAGGAAGCAGUGGGGAAUAUUGGACAAUGGGGGAAAGCCUGAUGCAGCCAUCCCGCGUGUAUGAAGAAGGCCCUAGGUUUGUAAAGUACGUUCGGCCGGGAGGCGUUACCUACAGAAUAAGCACCGGCUAACUACGUGCCAGCAGCCGCGGUAAUUC